rnacentral:lncRNA from 1 species
AUAGACACAUUACUUUUCACGAAAAUCUUUUAAAUUUAUGUCUUUGAUUCUUGUUUUCUUCUCAUUAUUGUUUGUGAUGAUAGGGAAACGAGGAGAACAGAGGAGAAACUAACAGUUCUACGAGCAUAUUUGUGAAAUGGAUAUUAAUCUUAAUGCUAAUCUUCACGAUUAUAAUUAUUCUCAGUGUAGCAGAAAAAUUUAGAAUGUGGAGAGAAUAUAUUGUAAUAACUGAAAAAAUAGGAUAAGAUCAAAGCUGCUUUAGUUGAGGUGCCAAUGAUUAGAAGAAAAUAUGUACAUAUAUAGAAUCAAAUAAUAUUAUAUUGUAUUAAAUAUAUUUAAUGUUAUAUUUAAGGUAAAUCUCAGAAUAAUUAUAGAAAUUUGAUUUAUAAAUUGGAAGAAAU